GGUUAGAGCAUCUGACUGUUAAUCAGAGGGUCCUUGGUUCGAGCCCAAGAGGGGGAGCAA
rnacentral:tRNA from 1 species